rnacentral:rRNA from 1 species
UACGGGGGGGGCAAGCGUUGUUCGGAAUUACUGGGCGUAAAGGGCUCGUAGGCGGCCAACUAAGUCAGACGUGAAAUCCCUCGGCUUAACCGGGGAACUGCGUCUGAUACUGGAUGGCUUGAGUUUGGGAGAGGGAUGCGGAAUUCCAGGUGUAGCGGUGAAAUGCGUAGAUAUCAGGAGGAACACCUGCGGUGUAGACGGCUUACUGGACCAUAACUGACGCUGAGGCACGAAAGCGUGGGUAGCAAACAGG